UACGUAGGGCGCAAGCGUUGUCCGGAAUUAUUGGGCGUAAAGAGCUCGUAGGCGGUCUGUCGCGUCGGCUGUGAAAACUCGGGGCUCAACUCCGAGCUUGCAGUCGAUACGGGCAGGCUAGAGUUCGGCAGGGGAGACUGGAAUUCCUGGUGUAGCGGUGAAAUGCGCAGAUAUCAGGAGGAACACCGAUGGCGAAGGCAGGUCUCUGGGCCACUACUGACGCUGAGAAGCGAAAGCGUGGGGAGCAAACAGG
rnacentral:rRNA from 1 species